rnacentral:rRNA from 1 species
GACGAACGCUGGCGGCGUGCUUAACACAUGCAAGUCGAACGGUAAGGCCCUUCGGGUACGACGAGUGGCGAACGGGUGGAGUAACAACGUGGGUGAUCUGCCCUGCACCUUCGGGAUAAGCCUGGGAAACUGGGUCUAAUACCGGAUAGGACCAUGGACUUCACGGUUUGUGGUGGAAAGCUUUUGCGGUGUGGGAUGGGCCCGCGGCCUAUCAGCUUGUUGGUGGGGUAAUGGCCUACCAAGGCGACGACGGGUAGCCGGCCUGAGAGGGUGUCCGGCCACACUGGGACUGAGAUACGGCCCAGACUCCUACGGGAGGCAGCAGUGGGGAAUAUUGCACAAUGGGCGCAAGCCUGAUGCAGCGACGCCGCGUGAGGGAUGACGGCCUC